GCUGAUAUGGCCGAGUGGUUAAGGCGAGUGAUUUGAAUGGCCGAACGUGCAUUUCACUAUCACUUGGGCAUCGCCCGCAUAGGUUCGAACCCUAUUGUCAGCG
rfam:Ceriporiopsis subvermispora B unplaced genomic scaffold CERSTscaffold_10, whole genome shotgun sequence.